GGGGCGCUGGCUUCCCAGAGGGCUCGGGGCGAAAGUUUCACCUCGGCUGCUCGCUGGGGUGAGCAAGGAGCGCGGAGCCCGGGAUGGAGAGAGCGAGCUCUGGUUCCUGAGGCCUCGCUCCCGAAAAGCCCCAGCAGAAGAACGUAUGAAGAGCCAUGAAAAUGGAGACUUGCUCCUUCCUGCACCUGUGACUCCUCCAUGGCCCAGGACGCCUCAAUAACACGUCCUACCCCUGUGAGGGGCCCUAUCUAGCCCAGGCCCCCUCGGCCCAUGGCCCCCCAGCCCUGCGGGGGUGGGUGGGAAGGGGUGAUUACCUAGCUGCUGAGGAGGAGGUGAGAGGGGACGAGAGGUACGGCAGAUCCCCACCACCACCACGCCGCCGUCCUGGGCUCUUUUCACAUUGUGCUACUGUCUGAGCCCCUGCCAAGCAGUGCAAUGUCAAAAGGGCAUCGGGCAGGCGGUGCCAGCAGCGCCUGACCCAGUCCCUCCACCACUCUGCCUCUGGGGGUCUGGGUGGAAGGAGGGCAGAGCGAGGAUCUGCAGGGGAACACAGACCACCCUUCCCAGAGUGGGGCAGAGGAGGGGAUGAAGGGGGUGCUGUGCUCAUGGCAGGGGGCUUUGAUGCUGAGGAGGGGUGCUGGGCUUGGGGCAGGGGUUUCAGGAACUCAUUUGCCAAGCAACCUAAUGAGCUCAUUUGGUUCAAUAUCCCUAAGUGACUGUGCUCCCUGAUGGAACUGAAGGGCCACCAGGUCACCAAUGAACCCCUGUAGCUCCAGCAGCACAGCGGCUGCUCAGUGCAUUCCGUGUUCCCAGCUGCGCCAGACCCGCUUCCUGCUGGCCCUUGCCCCACUCAUUGCAAGCUCCACAACAGCUCUUCCCUUUGGACUCCUGCCCCUUGGCUCUGACUAAUGGCUUGUCCCCUGGCCAUAACUGCACUUCUGCCCUCUGAUUCUGCUCCGACCCCUUGGUCUCACCACCUACACCUUGGGAUGUGACCGUUUGCUAGAAGGUAGCAGGAGCUUUGCUGCACAGCACGGAGCUUCCGUGCAGAAUGGCCCUAGCAGGAGUUUACCCCACCUUUGCAGAUGUUGUUGGAGUCCUGCAGGAACUGCACACUCAAGUUGCCAUCCUGCGUGACCAGAAUGCUCUCUCCGGGCUCAGGUACAAGCCCAGGCAGUGUCUUCUGUCCCCACAACUCUUGCAUCCAUUUUCCGUGAGCCCGAGUUGCCCCUACCCAGUAAGUUGGAUGGGGAUUGUGCCAAAUGUCAUGGGUUCCUUAACCAAUGUCAUCGCCAGUUCAUGUUGUGGCCAGUUGGACCUCACAUCUCAGUUCCAAGUGGGAUUAGUUCUCAGUCUGCUCCGAGGAGAGGCCCUGACUGAAUCGUGCUGCUGCCUGUCUUGGCAUCCCCUAACCAGCAUGCCAGCCUGCUGCAUCUGCCUCUUCAGCAUGUGCCAUGCCAGACAUCCAUUUAGGGGCCUUGGCCAGCUUGGACACUUCUGGCAAUUUUAUGGACCAGGACUUUAUGGAGCCUCGAAUUCCCAACCUCUGCAAGGUGUUCCCUGAGCUUGUAGAGGUUAUAGAUGGGUCAUUCCUAUCUUCAGGCCCCAUCAUGCAUCAAACAACCCACCUGGAGGGCAUCAGCAUUGGCAGUCAUCGAGAGAUCUUCCAGUUCAGGGUCAUCUGCGCUUUGCAUUCACCGGUCAUCCCUGGUGUCUCCUGGCUCGUUGCCCAUAAACCCCAAGUUAGCUGGUGCUUGCGAUCUUUACUUUUCUAUUCCCUGCAGUGCCGAUGAGCAUGCUUUCCCAACUCUAGUGAAUGGCUAGUCACAUUCUGUGGCAUGCUCCAGUCCUCGAAAGAUCUAGAACUGCCAACCAAAGUUUCAUUGGCAGUGCCCGGGAUUCCUGCCGAGUACAUAGAAUAUGCCGUAGUGUUUGACAAACAGAGGGCAGACGCUCUACUUCUUCAGCACAAUGAUGAUUGCACAAUUGACCUUCAACCAGGAACAGGAGUUCCUUUUGUGUGCAUUUACACUUUUAUCUGCACCCCAGCUGCAGGUCCUCCAGGAGUACCUUGAGGAAAAUCUGUGGAAGAGGUUCAUUGUCCCUUGACUUCCUGAGUGGCAGCACGUCUUCUUUGUGGCUAAGAAGGAUGGCUCCCUCCCUUAUAUUGAUUAUUGAACCUUUAACAAGAUCAUAGUCUGUGACUGAUGCCCCUUUUCAAAAAUAAAAUGGAAAGACUCUCAGUCAGGUCUUCACAAAGCUAGACUGGAGGCCAUACAACCUGUCAGAAUCCAGCAAGGGAAUGUGUGAUGCUGAGGACCAUUGGCCAGCUCAUGCCAAGGCCCUUAGAUCUCAACUGAACGCCGGCAAAUAUAUAGCUGGAACCAGUCUGGCUCACCCAUGUGUUAAUGUUAAAACAGAUGAGAAGCAUUACCAAGUGUGAAAUACUAGCUUGCCACAGGAGGUGUUCUCUCUUGUCCAACAAAAGAAGACCCAUCAACGCCAGAUGACCAGUUGUGGAACAUCAGAGGACAAAAGACUUUGUUGAUUGGCCUCCUUACCGCGCCCCACCCCCCAAAGAAGAGACAGGCAGCUGAAUUUGCAACUCAGCAGAAGGGGGAAAGGAAUAAAAAGCCCUAACAAGGAGGAACUGUAUCCUCUGCUUGGAGUCUGAGGAGCGGGACUUACUAAGCAUAAGCAAAAGAUCCCCUGUGAUUGGCCUGGAUUAGCCCUGAGGCCACAGAGCUUGCUUGUUAUAGAAGCUUCUAUUACCUUUUGAAACUUAAGACAGGAACACAUUUGUGUGUACAGUUACCUGCUUUAACCUUCUAAAUAACUGUUUCCUUUGCCUAGUUAAUAAAUCUUCAGAUACUUUA